UACGUAGGGGGCAAGCGUUGUCCGGAAUCAUUGGGCGUAAAGAGCGUGUAGGCGGUCCGGUAAGUCCGCUGUGAAAGUCGGGGGCUCAACCCUCGAAUGCCGGUGGAUACUGUCGGGCUAGAGUGCGGAAGAGGCGAGUGGAAUUCCUGGUGUAGCGGUGAAAUGCGUAGAUAUCUGGAGGAACACCGGUGGCGAAGGCGGCAUCCUGGACCACGACUGACGCUGAGGAGCGAAAGCCAGGGGAGCAAACGGG
rnacentral:rRNA from 1 species